rnacentral:rRNA from 1 species
GUGGGGAAUCUUAGACAAUGGGCGUAAGCCUGAUCUAGCCAUGCCGCGUGAGCGAUGAAGGCCUUAGGGUUGUAAAGCUCUUUCAGGGGGGAAGAUAAUGACGGUACCCCCAGAAGAAGCCCCGGCUAACUCCGUGCCAGCAGCCGCGGUAAUACGGAGGGGGCUAGCGUUGUUCGGAAUUACUGGGCGUAAAGCGCACGUAGGCGGACCAGAAAGUCAGGGGUGAAAUCCCGGGGCUCAACCCCGGAACUGCCUUUGAAACUCCUGGUCUUGAGGUCGAGAGAGGUGAGUGGAAGUCCGAGUGUAGAGGUGAAAUUCGUAGAUAUUCGGAGGAACACCAGUGGCGAAGGCGGCUCACUGGCUCGAUACUGACGCUGAGGUGCGAAAGCGUGGGGAGCAAACAGGAUUAGAAACCCGAGUAGUCC